rnacentral:lncRNA from 1 species
CUGUCGAGAAGUAUGAUUUUUGUUUUCGAAUCACUUGAUUUCGUUGAGUAUUGAAAAAGUUAUGAACGUUUAAAGUUUACCCAGUUUCCGGUGAGUUUUCCAGUUUUUCUUCGGACUAGUCAACUUUGAGGCUAUUUUCCGACUAUCUCCGACAGCCAUUGGGCUUACAAAUAGUAUAAUAUUAUUAUACACUUUCCUAUCUUCAUUUUGAUAUAUUAUGGGUCGAAUUUGGUUAAGAAACGAUUGAGUUACGAAUCUUUGAAAAUUGUCCAAACUUUCGGCCAACAGCUCCGGGACACUUAACAGAGUUUUUAACGGAAGGACCAAAUGAAGGAAACUUUUUGUCCUAGCUAAGAACAAGUAAGAACAUUUGAAUACAUAUGCAAACUAUUAACACAUUAAAGUAGACAUGCAUUCAAAAACAAUUCAUAAAACCCAUGACUUUAAAAGCCUAGUAAUAUGGUGAACCAAAAGACUCUUUAACAAUAUUAAAGAGAAUUAAGAAUUUAGAGAUUCUUUACCCUUGAAGCUCAUCCUUGUUUACACAAGGGAUUCACCCAAGUUGAGGGCCUUCAAGUCACCU